UCCGGGAGGGGCAAGCGUUGUUCGGAAUUACUGGGCGUAAAGGGCUCGUAGGUGGCCAACUAAGUCAGACGUGAAAUCCCUCGGCUUAACCGGGGAACUGCGUCUGAUACUGGAUGGCUUGAGUUCGGGAGAGGGAUGCGGAAUUCCAGGUGUAGCGGUGAAAUGCGUAGAUAUCUGGAGGAACACCGGUGGCGAAGGCGGCAUCCUGGACCAACACUGACACUGAGGAGCGAAAGCCAGGGGAGCAAACGGG
rnacentral:rRNA from 1 species